rnacentral:piRNA from 1 species
UAGAGUUUUAGAAAUUUAGCCUGGAAUCU